rnacentral:rRNA from 1 species
AUGGCUUACUAUUCAGAUCAUCAUGCUUAUGCGAGCAACACUACAAACAGCACGGAAAGUAUUCAAGACCUGAUAAGUAAGAUUUCCCAUCGAUUAGAUGAUUUAGCUCGGCAGCGAGAAGUAGUUUUUGAGGAUAGGCCUAGCUCUUAUGAUACUUAUUCUAGAGGCCAUCCUUAUGUUGCUCCUACCUGCCAUAUUUGUGGAUUUCAGGGCCAUUCACCCGCUGAAUGUCAGCGUGGUUACUCUCACCCUCCCGAUUGUUAUGGCAUGAGCUUCGCCCCACAGCCUAGCUCAUACCAAAACAAUUACUCAUAUGGGUGGCCUGAAAACCAGAGUAUGUCAUAUAGGAACAACAGCCCUGAGAUCUCAUCGUUUGCCUCUAGUUAUCCAUUGCAGGAAUUUAGGUACAAUGAGGAGAGCCACAGCUAUGCACCACAACAAUUUUAUUCACCUCCUACUCAUAUACCUCAACACCAGGAGAUGUUGCCAAUGGAGUUAAAUGGUCCUCCAUUUGGUCAACCAACACCUUCAACACAAGUGCCCACACAAGAUGAUUUCGAUGACAUAGACAAGCUCGCACUUUUGAGUCUCGAGUUCACAUGGAGUACCGAGGAUGGUCCUAUUAGGAAGGUUAUAAUAGAGGAAAUGAAGAAGAUCAAGAGUUGGAAUGAGCUAGUGGAAGAAGUAAAGAAGAUUGAGAAGAACAUCAAUGUUGGCAGUACUAUUUCUUCACAGCUUGAGCUGAGUAAUUCUGGGAUUCCCCUUGAUAAAUGUGAGGUUCCAAUACCGUCACAUCUAGCUGAGCAAGAUAGCAAGUGCCUUGAGCAAGAGAUACCUCGGAUUGAAGAAGAUGAACUAGAAGACAAGGAACAAGAUGAUCAAGAGCUGCAAUUCCCAAGUGAUCAAGUUGAAGACUCAUCAUCUACUACUCCUGAAGAAUUAUUCUCCUUAUGCUAG